rnacentral:rRNA from 1 species
UACGUAGGGGGCAAGCGUUGUCCGGAAUCAUUGGGCGUAAAGAGCGUGUAGGCGGCUCGGUAAGUCCGCUGUGAAAGUCCAGGGCUCAACCCUGGAAUGCCGGUGGAAACUGUCGAGCUCGAGUCCGGAAGAGGCGAGUGGAAUUCCUGGUGUAGCGGUGAAAUGCGCAGAUAUCAGGAGGAACACCAAUGGCGAAGGCGGCUCGCUGGGACGGUACUGACGCUGAGACGCGAAAGCGUGGGGAGCAAACAGG